AAUGAGCUCAUAAAUCAACGAAAAAUAGCUAGAAUUGAGCAUGAUAGGCAGAAAAGUAUGCAGUUCCAUCCAGCAAUAGAUAAAAACAAAGAAGAAAAAUCAAGGAAUAUCAUCUUAAAACUGAACUUAAUAGUAGUGAAAUUGCUAAAACUACAACCAAACCGAGCAUAACAGAACACUUAAAUCUUCAGAACUGAAUCAAAUGAAAACCGAACGAACCCGACACUCUCAAAAUACAAUAUCACUUUUUACAAAGCUAAGAGUACAUGACACCUGAACUUUUUUCCCAUAAAUCAACAAAAAUUAGCUAGAAGUGAACUUAACAGUGGGAGAAUUAUAAAUUCCAUCUAAACAAUGGGACAAAACAGAGCAUAAAAAUCAAUGAAGAUUACCUUAAAAUU
rnacentral:misc_RNA from 1 species